AGUGAACGCUGGCGGCGUGGAUUAGACAUGCAAGUCGAGCGAUCUCGCAAGAGAUAGCGGCAAACGGGUGAGGAACACGUAAAUAAUCUUCCCCUAUCCGACAUAGCCUUAUGAGAAUAAGGGUAAGUAUCCGAUGACCUCAUGAUUCUUCAUGGAAUUAUGUGGAAAGAUUGGGACCGCAAGGCCAGUCGGUAAGGGAUGAGUUUGCGUAGCANCAGCUAGUUGGUAGGGUAAUGGCCUACCAAGGCUAAGACGCUUAGCUGGUCUGAGAGGAUGGUCAGCCACACUGGGACUGAGACACUGCCCAGACUCCUACGGGAGGCUGCAGUCGAGAAUCUUUAGCAAUGGACGAAAGUCUGACUAUGCGACGCCGCGUGAGGGAUG
rnacentral:rRNA from 1 species